rnacentral:piRNA from 1 species
UUGAAUGUGUCUGUGGUGACUCCACAAAC